rnacentral:rRNA from 1 species
UCAUUGUAGCAUACAAGGCAGACGGCUCAGUAACGCGUAGUCAACCUAACCUAUGGAUGGGAAUAACCUCGGGAAACUGAGAAUAAUGCCCAAUAGAACACUAUACCUGGAAUGGUUUGUGUUCCAAAUGAUUUAUCGCCGUAGGAUGGGACUGCGGCCUAUCAGUUUGUUGGUGAGGUAAUGGCCCACCAAGACUAUUACAGGUACGGGCUCUGAGAGGAGUAGCCCGGAGAUGGGUACUGAGACACGGACCCAGGCCCUAUGGGGCGCAGCAGGCGAGAAAACUUUGCAAUGUGCGAAAGCACGACAAGGUUAAUCCGAGUGAUUUGUGCUAAACGAAUCUUUUGUUAGUCCUAGAAACACUAACGAAUAAGGGGUGGGCAAGUUCUGGUGUCAGCCGCCGCGGUAAAACCAGCACCUCAAGUGGUCAGGAUGAUUAUUGGGCCUAAAGCAUCCGUAGCCGGCUCUGUAAGUUUUCGGUUAAAUCUGUAUGCUCAACAUACAGGCUGCCGGGAAUACUGCAGAGCUAGGGAGUGGGAGAGGUAGACGGUACUCGGUAGGAAAGGGUAAAAUCCUUUGAUCUAUCGAUGACCACCUGUGGCGAAGCGGUCUACCAGAACACGUCCGACGGUGAGGGAUGAAGCUGGGGGAGCAACGGAUUAGAAUACCUGGGUAGUCCAGCUGUAACUAUGCAGCUCAACGAUGCAUUGGCCUGUGUCAUGCCAGGUGCUUGCC